AGCAGCCGCGGUAAUUCCAGCUCCAAUAGCGUAUAUUAAAGUUGUUGCAGUUAAAAGCUCGUAGUUGAAUUUCGGGGUUAGUACGCUGGUCGUGCCUUCGGUACGUACUGGUGUUACUGUUUCCUACCUUCUGAAGAACCGUCAUGUCAUUAAUUUGGUGUGGCGGGGAAUCAGGACUGUUACUUUGAAAAAUUGAGUGUUUAAAGCAGGCUCGCGCUUGAAUACAUUAGCAUGGAAUAAUGAAAUAGGACGUUUGAUCCUAUUUUGUUGGUUUCUAGGAUUGACGUAAUGAUUAAUAGGGAUAGUUGGGGGCAUCAGUAUU
rnacentral:rRNA from 1 species